CCCUUAGAUGUUCUGGGCUGCACGCGCGCUACACUGAUGCGAUCAACAAGUUUUUCCUAUGUCGAUAGACACGGGUAAUCUUUUGAACUCGCAUCGUGAUGGGGAUAGAUUAUUGUAAUUAUUAAUCUUCAACGAGGAAUUCCUAGUAGGUGCAAAUCAUCAGUUUGCAUCGAUUACGUCCCUGCCCUUUGUACACACCGCCCGUCGCUGCUACCGAUUGGUUGAUCUGGUGAAUUAUUCGGACUGCCGGCUGAAGGGGUUUCCUCAUCUGCCAGCGGAAAGUCUUGUUAACCCUAUCAACUAGGGGAAGCAGAAGUCGUAACA
rnacentral:rRNA from 1 species